CCUCGAACAUUCUCUGCAUUUUGUAUACAUUUCGCUUUUGUUUUGUGGGUCUAGUUUGUAGAUUAUGUACCAAAUGCGGUGGCGAUAUUAGUAGCACUCACAGCAUACAAUUAUUACAGAGACGGCUAUAGUAACUUAAACCGAAUUGGUAGUUUUAUUGGAAAGUUGGAGACAGCAUAUGCUUAAUGUCGGCUGAAACCUACAAGAACUUGGACUGCAAUGACAGUGGAAUGGAUUUUUCUAGGCGUGCGGAUGACUAUUGGAAUCUCUAUUCGACCUUUAAUUUCUGCACCUUCUCUUUUGUUUGCUGGGUCUAGUGUGCAAUCUUGUAGAAAGAUAUCAAGUGGUGACGAAAUUCAUAGCACUCGCUGCAUAGAAUAAUUGUAAUUAUAGAGACAGUUAAAUCAAUUACUACGCUUAAACGACAUUGGUAGUUUCAAUGGAAAAUUGGAGUCAAAAUAUGCUUAUUGUUGGGCUGGAACGUAUAAGAGCUUGGACUGCAAGUCAGUAGUGGAACGUGUGGAUUGUAAGAUGGAGAGGACUGAAAUUUCUAGGUGCGCUAAAGGUGACUUGAAUCUCAGUCAACCUGUAGUUUGUUCGAGGGUAAGCAAAGUUUGAGAUGACUUUGUUUUGUCUUGCCUGGCAUGGCGAAUUGAAUUUUCAGCACUUUGGAACAUAAUCUGGUAAUGUAGAUGGAUUUAGGAAAUCCAAUGGCAUGACAGCUCCUACACAGUGGAACAUUAGUAAAUUCUCCUAGGAAACACAGGGAUUUUCCCGCUUCCAUUUCGACCAUUAUUAGAAUAACUUUAAUUUUCUUUCUGAUGACGUGAUCCUACUUCUGGAAGUGGUACUAAAGAAGAAUCAUUGUAGCAUACAAUUCUUUGGCAAUACAUGCCAAUUUUUCUUCUUGUUUGGAAUUUCUACGCAAGAAAAACAAAUAGUUGAAACUAGCCGGAUUCACCUCGCUGCGAGAUAUUACCACUAUGUGCCCAUACAUAAAAAGAGAGAUGUAUAUGUUAUACACUGUAGCUAUGUUUUUAAGGCGUCCGUAAGGCGUCGCUUAGGCGACGCCUAGGCGUCAGGGCGCCCUCCAGGCUCAGGGCGUCGGCCUUGCCUUAGACAGUUGCAUAAGGCGUCCGCCUUAGGCUGUAAGGCGUCUGAAGCGUCCGCCUUGCACGCCUCAGACCAAAUCAGACGCCUUAGCUUGUCAGGCAGGGAAACAGAGAUUGCAGGCGGGAAAACUGACCUGGGCGGGAACACAGGCGCGGGAAACAUUGGUUCAGGUGCAACCAGUUAUGAGAAGGGGAAAGAGAGAGUGAAUCAACGCGAGAGGUCUCUCCUGUCUCCUCUCUGGACCAUUGACGGAGGCUUCCUCCUCAGAUCUGCGGCAGCCGCCAGCCUCCUCCCUCCAGCCACAGUUCCUCCCCCUCCGCUCCGGCUGCAGCUCCUCCCCAUCCUCCUCUGGCGCAACCCUCUUCCAGCAGAUCAGCACCACAUCAAAUAGCCAGGUGUACCUGCUCUGAUGGAUCUAGCCAAUGAUCCUAGGAGAAGAGCUACAUCAGAUGAUCCAGCCUGGAAGUAUGGGUUCUGGCCAGAUUUAGAGAGGAAAGAUUUACUCCAGUGUACAUUGUGUGGCAAGAUCGAUGGUCCAUGGUGGAGUGAGAAGGCUAAAGCAACACUUUUCUGGGGGUUCCAGUGAUGCGGAUAAGUGUCCCGAGGCAUCCAUGGAGAUUAGGAUAGAGAUGCACAAUUCCUUAAACACUAGAAAGUUUAAAGCUAUGGAGCGAUAUAUUGAUGAGGAGGAUGAAGCUGAACUUCAAAGGCGCCGUUCUGUCAUAUACACAUGAUGAUUUGAGGCCUAUGCUUUGGUAACAGUUUAUAUGUUAACGUUAGUUGUUAAAUCUCCUAAUUGGUUGCCAUCUAUUAUAUAUGUAUGUACAAUUUAUUAAGUUAAUGCUAGUUGUUAAAUCUCCUAAUUGGUUGCCAUAUAUUAUAUAUGCACGUGUCUAAGGCGUCGCCUCGCCUUACGCUGCGCUUAGGCGGUGAGGCGCCCCCCCAGCGCCUCGCCUCGCCUUACCGCCUUAAAAACAUAGCACUGUAGUAACGUUUAUGAUAGCAGCUCCAAGGUAUAUCUGUUUAAUCUGCUCCAUUGUAAUCUAGGCCCAUCAACAUAAGUGAUAUAGCCAUAUAGACCUCUCUCUGUUAUGCGAAAAUGCAGAAACUUCUACGUACCAUUUAAGUGCAAAAAGUAAUAUGCCCGCUUUAGUCUUGAUUUUUAUAAUCAAAUAGAUGUAGUAUAUCAAGUUCCAUUUCUGUGCUUCAGUGAGAAAAAUAUGGAAAUAAAUGGUAUACUACAAUGAUUUACUUGGAGUUAUGUAUAUAGUUUAUGUGGUAAAGGUAAUGUCAUUAUAAAAAUCAUUAUAGAAAUGUAAUUUAUUAAUUUGCUUGAUGGUAUUGCCAAAACAAAAGAAUUGGCUAAGGGUAGUCCACCCCCCAAAAAAAAUCUUUCUUCCAACCCCUAUGGGGGAGAAAUAAUCAGAAACUACGAAUCAGAAUCGAUAUACAACUUGUCUGUACUAUAUGUAACAAGGAUUCCUGUAGAAAUAUGUUCCCAGGCUCAGUUCCAUGUUCUCUUACGGAUAUUUUAAGAAUGUGAUACCUGUGGAAUUAUGGUGUGGUGUUUAUUUGUGAUACCUGGAGAAUUAUGGUGUGGAGUUCAUGCAUGAAAAGUCCUGCUAUUCCCAAUUCCUUUCUUAAUGCCAUUUUAAACUGACCUUUCUUAGUUCCAUUCCUGCACAUAAUUUGUAUUUUCAGAUUCAAUUGCAAAAUUUCAUGGUUUCCGGUUUUAACACUCUACCAUGCACAACCAAGAUUUUGAAGUCUAUGCGGAUUUGAUGGCAAAGUUGUAUGGUUUUCGCUUCUAACACAGUAACACUGCCAUGCACAAUGGAAAUGACAAAUGCAAUCAUAGAGCAAUCAAAUAUAGCCCUCACUCCACACAUCUAUUUUUGUGUGGAAAUAACAAGAAUUGCUCAAAUGUAGAGAGCUUCAGAUAAGGAUUAUGAUCCAUCAAUCAGAUAACACAAGUUGUGCGGAACACUCUGGUGGCUGGUGCAAUCAUACAGCUUUGCGACCUUCGCUUCUACCAAAAUUAGCUAUAUAUGCCAUCAGCUAAUCUUUUAAAGUUAUCUCACACGAACCCACCGAUCUACGAAUUUAACUUGUAAGGAUGGGCAAACCUCGAGUGGCCUUCCAUGUUGCUGGAGUAAGUCAUGAUGAUACUUGCACAACCCGAUUGGAUGGUUAGAGGUUUAUGUAUCCAUUGCAAUGUCACGACAAAGCCCUCCAUAGCGGAACACCACACAAAUUUCGGAAUCAUGGGACCAGGCAGUGGAACAAACUUCAGCAUUGCUGAGAAAAUUACUACACGGUUUCCAUCUCUAAGUAACAUCCCUGCAUGUACUUGCUAACCUGCAUGGGGACAAAGACCUCCAUUGAAUCCAAGAGAGAAACAUCCAAAAGGUAGUAGAACGUGUGGAGUGUAAGAUGGAGAGGAAUGAAUUUUGUAGGUGCGCUAAAGACGACUGGAAUCUCAUUUCAACCUGUAUCUUAUUCAAGAGUAAGCAAAGUUUGAGAAGACUUUGUUUUCUAUUGUCGGCAUGGUGAACUGAAUUUUCAACACUUUGGAACAUAAUCUGGUAAUGAAGAUGCAUUAAGGAAAUCCAGUGGCAUGACAGCUCGUGCACAGUGGAACAUUUCUACAUUCUAGUAGGGAGCACAAGAAUUUUCGCGGUUCCAUUUUGACUAUUAUUAGAAGAACUUUGAUUUUCUUUGUGAUAACAUGAUCCUACUUCUGGAAGUGGUACUUGCAGUCCAAUCUGCAGUGGAAUGGAUUUUCUAGGCGCACGAAUGACUAUUGGAAUCUCUAUUCGACAUGUAAUUUUUGUAUUUUCUCUUUUGUUUGGUGGGUCCAGUGUACAGACUUGUAGAUUAGAUAUCAAGUGGUGGCAAAAUUCAUAGCACUGGCUGCGCACAAUAAUUGUAAUUAUAGAGACAGCUAAACCAAUUAUGUUUAAACCACAUUGGUAGUUUCAAUGGAAAGUUGGAGACAAAA